rnacentral:rRNA from 1 species
UACGAAGGGGGCUAGCGUUGCUCGGAAUCACUGGGCGUAAAGCGCACGUAGGCGGCUUUUUAAGUCAGAGGUGAAAUCCUGGAGCUCAACUCCAGAACUGCCUUUGAUACUGAGAGGCUUGAGUCCGGGAGAGGUGAGUGGAACUGCGAGUGUAGAGGUGAAAUUCGUAGAUAUUCGCAAGAACACCAGUGGCGAAGGCGGCUCACUGGCCCGGUACUGACGCUGAGGUGCGAA